rnacentral:tRNA from 1 species
GCUGUGGUGGUGUAAAUGGUUAACACCCUUGACUAUCAACUAAAAGAUUGGUGGUUCAAGUCUACCCUGAGGUG